UCUCUCUCUCUCUCUCUCUCUCUCUCUCUCUCUCUCUCUCUCUCUCUCUCUCUCUCUCUCUCUCUCUUCUUCAGAUGUAACAUUGCUAAGGUUGGAAUUCCGCCGUUUUCACUGUUGUUCGAAGGAAUUUUGGCGUUAUCAUAUGAUAUUGAGCGAAUUUGGUGCCGAUUUACACUCUCAUCAAGAAUUCCAGAGUAGGAGAAGCAAAGCCACACGAGUUGAACCACGAUUCUUCCAGUUUGUUGCAUAGUAGGCAAGGUAAUAAUUGGAAACUAGUGUGACACUGAACGGAGUUUCUACUGCUUUUGCGUCAAAAGACAUCCUUGGUAAUGUUCUUGGUGGAUUGCCUAUGCAAUUCUCAAAGCCCUUUUCAUUUGGAGAUACAAUCAAGGCUGGAUCAAUAGAAGGUCAAGUGACGGAGAUGGGUUUAACUACAACUUCGUUAUUGAAUGCUGAAAAGUUUCCAGUAACAGUUCCAAACUCUAUGUUUUCUAAUCAGGUCAUCGUUAACAAGUCUCGAGCUGGGUGACGUGCUUAUAUCAGGAAAAUUCCAUUGCAGUUCGACAAUUUGGAGAAAGUUCCUCAGAUUUCAACUGACAUAAAGUCAAUGCUAGAGUCAUAUCCCAAAGUUUUUUUGGGACGUGAGGCUCCUUACUGUUAUCUCUCUCAAAUUGAUAGUUCAUAUGCUGAACUGACUCUUGGAUGCAAUCUCAAACAACUGAAAAAAUCUCUAAUGAAGGAGAACAAAAAUUACGGAGAAGGAGAACUCGCUGCUCUCUACCACGGCGAGUUUCCGAAUGCCGAUGCUUCCGAUGCCGCUGCUAUCAAGGAUUCUAAAUCUCAGUACCCGGAAGAGGUUGGAUGAACUUGUAGAUGAAGCUGGUGUGCCUCGUUAAAUGCAGGGGAAAUUCGAGCACGAGAUGGGGAUGCCUAAAGGCGGCACUUUUGCCUUGUACUCAUUGCUAUGCCGGCAUGCAAACCUUGGUGUUCUUCAUACUGAUGAGAAGUUAUCUGCAAUAUAUCUAUUGAGGGAUCUGAGCAGACAGCAAGGAAUUCUGCUUUCAAGCUACCAUUUGAAAAGCAUGAAAGAUUUCAUAAAGCGUUGCUGAUCUUUGUUUUUCUGGCAACAUGUAUGACUAUUGGUGAUGGUGUUCUCACACCAGCAAUAUCAGUUCUUUCGGCAGUGUCUGGAGUUCGUCUAAAAUUCACGGGACUUCAUGAAAUUAAGUUCUACUUCGUCCACAAAUCGAAGGGGAAAAAAGGAAGAAAGAGAGGCAUUACUAAAGUGUUUCAGAAACAUGCAACAGCUGCAAUGAAAUUUACAAUGAUUUUGACAAAUAAUAUCUUAAUUUGCAGAUUAUGUCGUUGUGGUUUCCUGCAUCAUUUUGGUAGUCCUUCUUUCUCUCCAACAUCAUGGAACACAUAGGGUUUCUUUCAUGUUUGCACCAAUUGUUUUAGCAUGGCUCCUUUGUAUCAGCAUCAUCGGUGUUUAUAAUAUUAUAAGGUGGUCAUUUUGUGUUUAUUGAUUUAGUCAGGUACUGAGUAUUGUUCAUCUGAUUGUUUUAAUUAGGAUAGAAAUGUUGAUGUAAUAUCUAGAUUGAUUGAAUAUCAAUUGUUGGUUUGGCUUAGAAUGUGAUGGUGGCUUGGUGUUUAUUGCUAUAA